GGGGAUGAAUUAGUUUCGACUGAUAUAAACCUAAAUUAUAUGCACGCCGUGCGGUGGCACGCAAAAAACACAGUUCGUUAAGACGAAUUAAAAUAAACGCAAAACAAAAUAAAUUAGCUUACGCUGCUUAGCGUGGCCGUCAGUUUAAUGGUACCGAUACAUUAAAAUUUGGCGUCGGUUAUCGGUGAAUGUCUUUAUGCGUUUCCUAGCGCAUACUGAUGAACUAUAGGAUAGUCGAUAUUUAGUGUCAAUGCUAGUAAAUAUUGGCGAAUGUAGUCAUUGACUAAGCGUGUAGUGUAUGAUUUAUAUUUAUGUUAGGACACGAGUGCAACUCUCGUCAUCUCCACCA
rnacentral:sRNA from 1 species